AGGGUUUGAUCAUGGCUCAGGACGAACGCUGGCGGCGUGCCUAAUACAUGCAAGUCGAGCGGACAGGUGGGAGCUUGCCCCCUGAAGUCAGCGGCGGACGGGUGAGUAACACGUGGGCAACCUGCCUAUAAGACUGGGAUAACUUCGGGAAACCGGAGUUAAUACCGAAUAAUACCGAGGACCUCAUGGUCCUUGGUUGAAAGAUGGCUUCGGCUAUCACUUAUAGAUGGGCCCGCGGCGCAUUAGCUAGUUGGUGAGGUAAUGGCUCACCAAGGCCACGAUGCGUAGCCGACCUGAGAGGGUGAUCGGCCACACUGGGACUGAGACACGGCCCAGACUCCUACGGGAGGCAGCAGUAGGGAAUCUUCCGCAAUGGACGAAAGUCUGACGGAGCAACGCCGCGUGAACGAUGAAGGCCUUCGGGUCGUAAAGUUCCGUUGUUUAGGGAAGAACAAGUACCGUUCGAAUAGGGCGGUACCUUGACGGUACCUAACCAGAAGGCCACGGCUAACUACGUGCCAGCUAGCCGCGNNAAUACNUA
rnacentral:rRNA from 1 species